ensembl:lincRNA
GUGCUGAAAACUGAACCCAGAAAAUUUACAAGAUAUAACCUGGCUUGGGUGGCCUCUAAAUGGUAUUUGAACCCAGUUGAGCUGACACUAGCACACAUGCUUUGGUCACUGUGCUUUGCUGCUUUCCUAUGCUGUCUCAUCUACAUAAAGGCAUCCCACAUCUGUCUAUUGAGUGUCUAAAGUGAACAACACAAAACUACAACAUCUUUUGAAACCAAAAUUAGACCCAGUGGGAUCUUCUGGGAAGCUCCUUAAUAAGAGGAUGAUAGGUCAAACUCUAAAUAAUUCAUUAAAGAUUUCCUAUGCUCAACUGUCAAUAACAUGUCAACUGAUAUUUCUGUUGUGAAUGCGUUCCCAGGUUCAUGUCUCAAGUAUAAAAAAGGAAAAUGUGCUACUCAAUCCAAAAAGUCUACUACCUGCCAUUCCCAGUCUGUCAGAGGUCGCAAAAUCACCAUGUGGCCAAGGAAGAGGAAGGGCCAUCAAAUACCCACAAGCAACUCUUCUUCUUUGGAAGCUCCCCUGGAAGACCUGGUGGAGGACCCUCUUCAUGACAGGGAGGAUGAAGUGGUUCCACCUAAUGUUGAGGGGAACCCCAGAGAAAGUGAAAACUGUAGGUAUUCUCUGCUAAUCCCACAUCUGAGGGUAAAGUAG